rnacentral:rRNA from 1 species
ACCAGACUUGCCCUCCAAUAGAUCCUCGUUAAAGGAUUUAAAUUGUACCCAUUCCGAUGACAGACCUCGAAGAGGACUGUCUCGUUAUUUUUCGUCACUACCUCUCCGUUCUGGAAGUGGGUAAUUUGCGCGCCUGCUGCCUUCCUUGGAUGUGGUAGCCGUUUCUCAGGCUCCCUCUCCGGAAUAGAACCCUAAUUCCCCGUUACCCGUUGAAACCAUUGUAGACCACUACUCUACAAUCGAAAGUUGAUAGGGCAGAAAUUUGAAUGAACCAUCGCCGGCACAAGGCCAUGCGAUUCGUUAAGUUAUUAUGAAUCACCAAGGAGCCCCGAAGGGCAUUGGUUUUUUAUCUAAUAAAUACACCCCUUCCGAAGUCGAGGUUUUUAGCAUGUAUUAGCUCUAGAAUUACCACGGUUAUCCAAGUAGUAAGGUACUAUCAAAUAAACGAUAACUGAUUUAAUGAGCCAUUCGCAGUUUCACCGUAUAGAUUGCUUAUACUUAGACAUGCAUGGCUUAAUCUUUGAGACAAGCAUAUGACUACUGGCAGGAUCAACCAG